CGCGCAGGCGGCCAGGUCAGUCGAAUGUGAAAGCCCCCGGCUCAACUGGGGAAGGUCAUUCGAUACUGCCUGGCUUGAAGAUAGGAGAGGGAAGCGGAAUUUCAGGUGUAGUGGUGAAAUGCGUAGAUAUCUGAAGGAACACCAGUGGCGAAGGCGGCUUUCUGGCCUAUUCUUGACGCUGAGGCGCGAAAGCUAGGGGAGCGAACG
rnacentral:rRNA from 1 species